rnacentral:rRNA from 1 species
AACGAACGCUGGCGGCAGGCUUAACACAUGCAAGUCGAACGCCCCGCAAGGGGAGUGGCAGACGGGUGAGUAACGCGUGGGAACAUACCCUUUUCUACGGAAUAGCUCUGGGAAACUGGAAUUAAUACCGUAUACGCCCUACGGGGGAAAGAUUUAUCGGGGAAGGAUUGGCCCGCGUUGGAUUAGCUAGUUGGUGGGGUAAAGGCCUACCAAGGCGACGAUCCAUAGCUGGUCUGAGAGGAUGAUCAGCCACACUGGGACUGAGACACGGCCCAGACUCCUACGGGAGGCAGCAGUGGGGAAUAUUGGACAAUGGGCGCAAGCCUGAUCCAGCCAUGCCGCGUGAGUGAUGAAGGCCCUAGGGUUGUAAAGCUCUUUCACCGGUGAAGAUAAUGACGGUAACCGGAGAAGAAGCCCCGGCUAACUUCGUGCCAGCCGCCGCAGUAACAC